rnacentral:rRNA from 1 species
UACGGAGGGUGCAAGCGUUGUCCGGAUUUAUUGGGUUUAAAGGGUGCGUAGGCGGUUCUGUAAGUCAGUGGUGAAAUCCGGCAGCUCAACUGUCGAUGUGCCAUUGAUACUGCAGAACUUGAGUACAGACGAGGUAGGCGGAAUUGACGGUGUAGCGGUGAAAUGCUUAGAUAUCGUCAAGAACACCGAUAGCGAAGGCAGCUUACUAGACUGUAACUGACGCUGAUGCACGAAAGUGUGGGGAUCAAACAGG